GUGAAGUGAAGGGAAGUGAAUUGUUGCCGAGUGCUUUUGACAAAAGGGCUUUUGAGAAAAGCAGUCCUAACCAUGGCAACUGUGCGAAUGUUGCUUUUUCUGGCUAUCGUCUACUCUGCAGGGAUUCAUGUGAUCGUCUCCCUUACAGACCUUAAUGAUGCUGCUGUACUCCAAUCCUUGAAGGGGGCAUGGCAAAAUACACCUCCCAGCUGGGACAAGUCGAACGAUCCCUGUGGUUUGCGCUGGGAAGGAGUCACCUGCAACGGUUCAAGGGUGUCUGCACUGGCAUUGUCAAGCACCGGUCUGAAAGGGGAACUUACUGGUGACAUUGGGGGACUCACUGAAUUAAGAUCCAUGGACCUUUCAUUCAACCCUGGCCUCACCGGUUCUCUCUCUCCGCGACUAGGUGAUCUGAAGAAGUUAAAUGUCAUGGUCCUAGCUGGGUGCAGCUUCAGUGGUAAUAUUCCAGAUGAAUUAGGCAAUCUUGCAGAGCUAACCUUCUUGGCUCUGAAUUCAAAUAACCUCACUGGUGUUAUACCUCAUCCUUUGGGUAAACUCUCAAACCUCUACUGGCUGGACCUGGCAAAAAAUCAGUUGAGCGGACCUAUCCCUAUUUCGACCUCCACUUCCCCAGGCUUAGACCUCCUGCUUAAGGCUAAACACUUCCAUUUGAACGAGAACCAGCUUUCAGGUUCCAUUCCGCCCCAACUUUCCAGCUCCGAGAUGACACUGAUAGACUUGUUUUUAGACGGAAAUAGGUUUAGCGGUUCUAUUCCAAUAACAUUAGGACUUGUUCACACUCUUAAAGUUCUUCGGCUUGAUGGAAAUUUUCUGACGGGAAUUGUUCCAUCGAAUCUUAAAAACCUUACAAAUGUCUAUGAAUUAAAUUUAGCCCGCAACUCCUUGACAGGCCCUUUACCGGACUUAAGUGGAAUGAAUCUCCUCAAUUAUGUAGACCUUAGCAACAACUCAUUCGACGCGUCAGAAGCUCCGCUUUGGUUCACCACCAUACCCACACUCACCACUUUGGUAAUAGAAUUUGGAUCACUUCAAGGGACUCUACCGGAGAAGCUUUUCGGCCUUCCAGAAUUACAGCAAGUGAAACUGAAAAACAACUCGUUUAACUGAUACGUUGAACAUGGGAGAUAACAUCAGCAAACAACUGCAGCUUGUUGAUCUGCAGUACAAUCAAAUUUCCAGUAGUAACUCUGAUUAUGAAUACAAAAAUGAACUAAUACUUUUCGGCAACCCGGUAUGCAGCGGUUCGGGUGCCCCAAAUCUUACUUUCUGUCAGCCUCCCCAUCAAGCUACAAAAUCUUAAGGGGUUUAAAUAAGCGAUCUUUCACAAGAGUUGGCUAGAACAGUGCGCUAUCAUCAGCACGUAAUUUGAUUCUUUAUUCUGUAAUUUAAAUUAAAUUAAAACGUCACUCAAUAAAAAAAAGUGAGAGCUUUCGUCAACAUUGUGAAAUGGGGAGUUAUACAUUCAAG